ACUAACAAGGAUUCCCCUAGUAACUGCGAGUGAACCGGGAAAAGCUCAAAUUUUGAAUCUGGCGGUCUUUCGGCCGUCCGAGUUGUAAUCUAGAGAAGCGUCUUCCGCGCUGGACCGUGUAUAAGUUUCCUGGAAUGGAACGUCGUAGAGGGUGAGAAUCCCGUCUUUGACACGGACUGCCAGGGCUAUGCGAUGCGCUCUCGACGAGUCGAGUUGUUUGGGAAUGCAGCUCAAAUAGGGUGGUAAAUUCCAUCUAAAGCUAAAUACAGGCGAGAGACCGAUAGCGAACAAGUACCGUGAGGGAAAGAUGAAAAGAACUUUGGAAAGAGAGUUAAACAGUACGUGAAAUUGCUGAAAGGGAAACGCUUGAUGUCAGUCGCGUCGGCCGGGGAUCAGCCUUGCUCUUUUGCUCGGCGUACUUCCUGGUCGACGGGUCAGCAUCGGUUUUGACCGUCGGAAAAUGGCUCGAGGAAUGUGGCACUCUUCGGGGUGUGUUAUAGACUCGGGUCGAAUGCGACGGUCGGGACCGAGGAACUCAGCACGACCCUUCGGGGUUCGGGGCUUCGGCUCACGUUUGACGUGCUUAGGAUGCUGGCAUAAUGGCCUUAAGCGACCC
rnacentral:rRNA from 1 species